rnacentral:rRNA from 1 species
UACGUAGGGUGCAAGCGUUGUUCGGAAUCAUUGGGCGUAAAGCGCGUGUAGGUGGUUAUGUAAGUCGGGUGUGAAAUCCCUGGGCUCAACCGAGGAAGUGCAUCCGAAACUACAUAGCUAGAGGACGGUAGAGGAAGGUGGAAUUCCUAGUGUAGAGGUGAAAUUCGUAGAUAUUAGGAGGAAUACCGGUGGCGAAGGCGGCCUUCUGGGCCGUUCCUGACACUGAGACGCGAAAGCGUGGGGAGCAAACAGG